rnacentral:rRNA from 1 species
UACGGAGGUGGCAGGCAAUACUCGGAUUGAUUGGGUGUAAAGGGUGCGUAGGUGGCAAUUUAAGUCGAAUGUGAAAGCCCCUGGCUUAACCAGGGAACUGCAUUCGAAACUGCUUUGCUUGAGUGACAGAGAGGAAGAUGGAAUUCCCGGUGUAACAGUGAAAUGUGUAGAUAUCGGGAGGAACACCAGUGGCGAAGGCGAUCUUCUGGCUGUCCACUGACACUGAUGCACGAGAGCUAGGGGAG